rnacentral:lncRNA from 1 species
GCUGUAAUGCUGCACGACUUUGGACCAAUGCCAAGUUUAUUAGGGAUGUUUCCUUUAUGGAUCCUUAGAUUUCGUUUGAAUGUGUGAAUUUGAUAUUAAAGAAUUUGAAAUUCUCGUUCCAAAUUUGUCGAAUAUGUUUCGAUGACGAGUAGAGCAAAAUAAUUUAAAAUUAAGAAAAAUUACCAUUUCAAUUUCAAUAUCAAAAUAAAAAUAAUUUCAAAUAACUCUAAAAUUUGUGUUAUUUGACAAAUCCACAUAUCUGGCUUCCCUCUCUCUUUUCAAAAUAAGUGUUAAUUGAAAUACGUGUAAUUGAAAUAUUUUUUUUUAAAAAAAUAAAUAAAUCCAAAUAGCAUUUGAAAUCCAAGUUUCCAAACGAAGUCUUAUAUUUUUUAAGUAAUAGCUGGCAUCAUGAAAUUUUCAUUUUAGCAUGUUUUUAUUAAUUUAGGCAAUGAUUUUUACAUCUUCUUUUCUUUAAUCCAUUUUUUUUAUGUUAGACAAAAACACUCAAAUGUCCUUUUAUGUAGUUAGAAUAUUUAGAGAAAAUGUAGUUUAGAAAAUAUAAAUACUUGGGUUUUUUGAUAGCCUUAUACCAAAUAAAGACACAAAAUAUAGUAUAAUUGAAGAAAAGAAAAGUUUAAAUUCUUUCUUUUUCUUGAUAACCAAAAAAAUUACUUAGUUUGGUUCCUAUGAGGACUAGUACCUCCACUAGUAUCAAUAUUGUUGAAAUAAAGUCUUUUAUUUUGAUGAUUAUAAUUGUUUAAAACUAAAUCAAACAACUGUUAUUGAAAAUCUUGAAAAACAACCAUGGUUUCAAAAAUAGUCUUGCACUUGAUUAAAAUUUUGAAAUCUUCUACAUAUCAUAUUUGACGUUAUUAAGGGUGUAAAAAUAAAUAGAAGUAUUAGUUUAACACUCAAACAAAAAUUAGUUACUCAAUGGUCAAUCAAAGAACUGUCAAACUGGGCUCUCAUUGUCAAAAAGUUUAAAACAGAACAUUUAGUCUUUGGAAAUCUAGUUGAAAGUCGACCGAAGUUAAACUUCGCUCGACCGAAGUUCCAAAAUAGCUCAACCGAAGCUCCUCAGCCGAAGUCAGGGUACAACCGAAUGCAAAGGAGUUAAUGAACAAAAAUACUCUCUGAAAAAAUAGUUCAAAGACAACCGAACUUGAAAUUCGCUCAACCGAAGUUUAGAGCUGAUCAACCGAAGUUGAAAGAUCACUCCACCGAAGUUUGUUGGAAUGGACGAAUUAAAAUAUAAUGAAAAGAAAGAGAAGAAGAAAAAGAGUAAGUAACUUAGAAUAGGAGAAGAGAAAAUAACUGGUUUCGUUUUAUUUAUUUUUUUAUGUCGACCCAAAGUGAAAGUUCAAUUGAGCGAAGUCAAAAUUGGGGACGACCGAACCUGAGAAAAGCAAAACAGAGCAAAGGACCGUGCCACUGGAAAUACAGGCCAUUCACGACUAAAGUUUUGAAUUUCAAACUGCACACUAAAAUCACAUAUUCAACGGAUGGGAUUAAUUCAGAACGGACAAAUUCAAUGCAUUUAAUGUUGCAACAUCUCUAUUCAUAUUGGGGUCUUUAAAAUCAACCAUUGGGAUUGUUGAAAACACAAUGAAGUGUUCUAAAAUUGUAUUUCUCAUAGCAUUCAAUACUUCAAUCUUUCUUGAGCAUUCAUUAUGAUUUUUUGACUUUGAUCAAAAAUAAAUUGUGAGUUAUAAAAAAAAAAGGUUUUAUUUUUUUCGUGUAUCCAAUUAAAAAAUAUACCCAAUUUUAUAAGUUUUUUGGUCAUUGAAUCAUAACUUAUGUGGGACCAAUACAAAUAUUUUUUUUUAAAUGUUAUGCUUAUCAUAUGAUGUAACUCAUAACUCUUAGAUAUAAUAAUUUGAAUUUCGGGAUCACUAAAUUAGUGGUUAUGAGGUAAGCUAUAUCAAAAGAUAAAUAAAAAGAGUAAAAGCAAAUGACAACAUAGCAUUGCUUUUUCCAUUUUUAUGUACUAAUAACGAUAUACAGUAUUUUUUCCAUAAAACAAUUAUGCAAAAUGAUACAUUUCAUUGUUCUCCAUUCAUUUCGGAACACAAGACAAAUUCCAGCACUUUUAAUUUUUAGUCAGUCAUAUUUUUUUAUAGUAUUAAUUUUCACAACAUAAUUUACAAUGAGAACAUUUUGAACCAUCAAAAUCAGGUCAAAAUAUACUCAGAUUGCACAGUCGAGUCUAACUGUGGCUUGCCCUUUUUUCCCAAAAAAAAAAAAACAAAUCCUCUCACUUCUUUGAGCUCCUUCAAAAAAUGUCUGUUCAUCUUGAUCCAUAAGAGUCCACUGACUACAGACAGGAUGCCUUGCAUAACAAGAGUUGAACCCCUUUUUUAAUCUCUAGCCUUGCGAUCAAUUCAGUAAUUCACUUACUUCCCUGAGAUUUCUAACAAAUGCAAGGACGUUCGCUGUGGUUUUUAAAACUGUACUGCCGUCCCUUACUUUUAUUGAUAUUCUUUAAAUUGUUCCCUCCCGUCAAAACCGCCCUAACGACGUUAUGUUUGGAAUCUAAAUGACACAACUAGCAUUUCAAAAAAUAUCUAGGAAAGAUUACCAAUAAAUAUGAUUACUAUAAAGUCUAAUCAAUUUUUUCCUUACUAUAAAGUUCUCAAUUUUCGUUGGCACAAUAAGCAGUUCUAAUCUAAGAUAAUUCUGAUAACUUAUUUUUUUUCCCAAAAAAAAAAAAAAUGUUCAACUUUUUUUUAUAGUGGCAUAUCUUAUUCCAAUGUUAACCCCACUAAAUGUAAAUUAUCAUAGUACUCGUGGUAUGAAAUAAUAAUUUUAUAGGUAUUAAAAAAGCACAAAAAAUCAUAUAACAAUUUGACAAAAAGAUUAAAAAUACAUUUAUCCUUAUACAAAUUUUAAUGUGGUCACCUGUAUAAUGAAAUUAUUUGAUGUGGUUAUGUAGGUUUUAUUGGAGAAUACAUUUAUCCUUAAACAAAUUAUAAUUUGAGAACGUAAAGAAUAGUCUAAUAUUAAAAAAUUUUCUAUAUUAACUUUUUUCAUAUAUCUUUUUUUGAGGGGAUAUUACUAUCAUUCUCUAUCAUUCCACUUGAAUCCAUCUUCCUCACCAUUGAAGCGCGCCACCACCACCACAUCUACCACCUCACUUGAAUCGCAUAUCCACCUUUAUUGAAAGCCACCACUCUUCAAUAUUGAUCAGCCCUUUUUUCCUAACUCACAACCCCUUUCCAAUUCUUCAAAUCUAACACCUUAAUCCUUCAAGAGUUUUAGGGAGUGAAGAGGGUUGUAGUAGGAGGUGAAAGGUAGAGGUGGGUCAUGAUAAGAAUUGGUAGUAGAAGGUAGAGCCGUAGAGGCCAAGGAAGGUACCAAUAGAAGUUUAAGGUCUUGGAAAGUAGUGGCUUGGAUCCCCUUAUAAUUUUCUCUCUAUUUCUCUAGAAAUUUUGAUAAUAAACAAAGGGUAUUUUAGUAACUCUGUAAUUAAGUUAAACAUUGUUUGCUAAUAGAAGGCUCUAAUGUGAUUUUAUAGAAUAAAGGGGAUUUAGUGUAAUUUCAGAUGAAUUCAUGGGGUGUCAGUGAAAUUUAUCCUUCUUUUUUGAACAAUGGUAUUACAAAUAUUAUUUUUGCUUUUUUUUAUUUACCAAAUAAUGUUGCGUAUUCACAAACAUGAUAUAAUUAUUUCAAUAACUGAUCAAUUAUAUUCAAAAAUUAUGUAUUAUAUUUCAUAUAAGAUGAUAAAUUAAAAUAAUAAAAAUAAGAGAUAAUCAUAACAUUUUUUACUUUUUAUUUUUUAUUUUAUCCGGGAACAUGCAUGCACUGAUGACUUUUGUGGGCAAUAAAAAAUUUGUUUUUUUGUUUAGAUGGAGAAAUGUCCUAAAGCGAAGCCAAUGUGUAGUUGGUGGACAUCUUUUUGGGUCAACCUAACGUCUUCUGCACGAGUCAAUGUUUUGAAUCGCAGUGCACUGUGGAGACAACCCGACAAGUAUUGACUUCAUCACUGAAAAUAAAUAAAUAAAAGGUCUAAUUAAGAGAGACGAACAUGAGAGGCUCUUACAUAAUGCUAGGAUGUUUCCCUUGAGUAUCAGGAAGACUUUUGAGGAGAGAGAGAUGGCUCACAACUUUUUAUCCGAUAGAAAUUGAGAGAGAGUGUGAGGGAAUUUCUGUAUUAUAUUUCGUGAAUCAUUAUUAUGUAUAAGAGUUUUCUUUAUACAGAGAAAUAUCGGUAAGGUAUUAUUUACAGAAAGGUAAUAGUAAUAAUGUAAAUAUGGUAUUGUAUCAAUCAAAAUAUAUUCUGUAUCAGAAUAGAUACAGAAUAUAUUCUGAAUAUAUAUAUGGUAAAUGUAUAUAUGCUAAACAUGAUAUAUGGGGGUAAAAUAUUAGAUGCUAACAUCCCCCUUAAACUAAGGUGGUAUAAGCUGGAGACCAACUUGAUUGGAAGAAGAUCCCGAAAAGCGGCUUGUAGGAUGAGUUUUGGUAAAGAAAUCAGCAAGGGAUCAAUAGAAGCGAACGGGCGGGACAGAUGCAAAAACUUCCUACUUAGAUGAUGGCGGUAUAAAGUAGCAGUCGAUCUCGAUGUGUUUAGUUAUUUCAUGAGAAAAGUUAUUGUGAGCAAUUAAAUAGCGCGUGGUAGAUCACAAUGAAGAACAAUAGAAGGAGAAUCGAUGCCCAAGUCUUGAUGAGCCAGUGAGUCAAAAGUAACUUAGAUGUCGUGUCUGCGAAGGCACAAUAUUCAGCAUCUGUAUUGAUCGAGCAACAACAGAAUUUUUUUAUUGGCCCAUGAGAUCAACGGCAUACCAACAAAGAAGCAAUAGCCAGUAGUGACACGAUGAUCAGUGGGGGUCGCCACUGCCCCAAAGAAUCUGAAUAGCACGAAGAGUCAGAGAUGGAUCGUGACAAAAAAAUGAAUGGCGUUGAAAACUCUUGAAUAACAGUAAAAUCCUCAAGGCUGUAGCAUAGUGAGUGGACGAAGAGCAGACAUAAAGUUGACUGACAAUAUGCACGGCAUGUAGAGAAUC